UACGGGGGGGUAAGCGUUGUUCGGAAUUACUGGGCGUAAAGGGCUCGUAGGCGGCCAACUCAGUCAGACGUGAAAUCCCUCAGCUUAACUGGGGAACUGCGUCUGAUACUGGAUGGCUUGGAUUCGGGAGAGGAAUGCGGAAUUCCAGGUGUAGCGGUGAAAUGCGUAGAUAUCUGGAGGAACACCGGUGGCGAAGGCGGCAUCCUGGACCGACAUUGACGCUGAGGCACGAAGGUCAGGGGAGCAAACGGG
rnacentral:rRNA from 1 species